GAUGAACGCUGGCUACAGGCUUAACACAUGCAAGUCGAGGGGAAACGACGGGGAAGCUUGCUUCCCCGGGCGUCGACCGGCGCACGGGUGAGUAACGCGUAUCCAACCUGCCUCUGACUGAGGGAUAACCCGUCGAAAGUCGGCCUAAUACCUCAUGGCAUCGUCUGCGGGCAUCCAACGACGAUUAAAGAUUUCAUCGGUCAGAGAUGGGGAUGCGUCUGAUUAGCUUGCUGGCGGGGUAACGGCCCACCAAGGCGACGAUCAGUAGGGGUUCUGAGAGGAAGGUCCCCCACAUUGGAACUGAGACACGGUCCAAACUCCUACGGGAGGCAGCAGUGAGGAAUAUUGGUCAAUGGGCGAGAGCCUGAACCAGCCAAGUAGCGUGCAGGAUGACGGCCCUAUGGGUUGUAAACUGCUUUUAUGCGGGGAUAAAGUGAGGGACGUGUCCUUCAUUGCAGGUACCGCAUGAAUAAGGACCGGCUAAUUCCGUG
rnacentral:rRNA from 1 species